rnacentral:rRNA from 1 species
UUGAACGCUGGCGGUAUGCUUAACACAUGCAAGUCGAACGGAAACGAUACUAGCUUGCUAGUAGGCGUCGAGUGGCGGACGGGUGAGUAACGCGUAGGAAUCUGCCUGAUAGUGGGGGAUAGCCCGAAGAAAUUCGGAUUAAUACCGCAUAAUCUAUUCGUAGUAAAGUGGGGGACUUUCGAGCCUCACGCUAUCAGAUGAGCCUGCGUAAGAUUAGCUUGUUGGUAGGGUAAAAGCCUACCAAGGCGACGAUCUUUAGCUGGUCUGAGAGGAUGAUCAGCCACAUCGGGACUGAGACACGGCCCGAACUCCUACGGGAGGCAGCAGUGGGGAAUAUUGGACAAUGGGGGCAACCCUGAUCCAGCAAUACCGCGUGUGUGAAGAAGGCCUGAGGGUUGUAAAGCACUUUCAAUUGUGAAGAAAAGUUAGCGGUUAAUAACCGUUAGCCUUGACGUUAACUUUAGAAGAAGCACCGGCUAACUCCGUGCCAGCAGCCGCGGUAAUACGGAGGGUGCAAGCGUUAAUCGGAAUUACUGGGCGUAAAGCGUGCGUAGGUGGUUUAUUAAGUCAGAUGUGAAAGCCCCGGGCUUAACCUGGGAACUGCAUUUGAAACUGGUCAACUAGAGUAUGGUAGAGGAAAGUGGAAUUUCUGGUGUAGCGGUGAAAUGCGUAGAUAUCAGAAAGGAACAUCAAUGGCGAAGGCAGCUUUCUGGACCAAUACUGACACUGAGGUACGAAAGCGUGGGUAGCAAACAGGAUUAGAUACCCUGGUAGUCCACGCCGUAAACGAUGAUAACUAGCCGUUGGGGGGAUUUACCCUUUAGUGGCGAAGCUAACGCGUUAAGUUAUCCGCCUGGGGAGUACGGCCGCAAGGUUAAAACUCAAAGGAAUUGACGGGGACCCGCACAAGCGGUGGAGCAUGUGGUUUAAUUCGAUGCAACGCGAAGAACCUUACCUGGUCUUGACAUCCUGCGAACUUUCUAGAAAUAGAUUGGUGCCUUCGGGAACGCAGUGACAGGUGCUGCAUGGCUGUCGUCAGCUCGUGUCGUGAGAUGUUGGGUUAAGUCCCGUAACGAGCGCAACCCCUAUCCUUAUUUGCCAGCACAUCAUGGUGGGAACUAUAAGGAGACUGCCGGUGAUAAACCGGAGGAAGGCGGGGACGACGUCAAGUCAUCAUGGCCCUUACGACCAGGGCUACACACGUGCUACAAUGGGAAGGACAAAGAGCCGCGAAGCCGCGAGGUGUAGCUAAUCUCAUAAACCUUUUCGUAGUCCGGAUUGGAGUCUGCAACUCGACUCCAUGAAGUCGGAAUCGCUAGUAAUCGUAGAUCAGAAUGCUACGGUGAAUACGUUCCCGGGUCUUGUACACACCG